GACGAACGCUGGCGGCGUGCUUAACACAUGCAAGUCGAACGGUAAGGCCCUUCGGGGUACACGAGUGGCGAACGGGUGGGUAACACGUGGGUGAUCUGCCCUGCACUUCGGGAUAAGCCUGGGAAACUGGGUCUAAUACCGGAUAGGACUCCGGACUGCAUGGUCUGGGGUGGAAAGCUUUUGCGGUGUGGGAUGGGCCCGCGGCCUAUCAGCUUGUUGGUGGGGUGAUGGCCUACCAAGGCGACGACGGGUAGCCGGCCUGAGAGGGUGACCGGCCACACUGGGGCUGAGAUACGGACCAGACUCCUACGGGAGGCAGCAGUGGGGAAUAUUGCACAAUGGGCGCAAGCCUGAUGCAGCGACGCCGCGUGAGGGAUGACGGCCUUCGGGUUGUAAACCUCUUUCAGCAUCGACGAAGCGAAAGUGACGGUAGGUGCAGAAGAAGGACCGGCCAACUACGUGCCAGCCGCCGCGGUAA
rnacentral:rRNA from 1 species